AGUAAAGUAAGCUAAAUUUUAAGCUGUUGGGUUCAUACCCCAAAAAUGAAUAAUAUAUUCCUUUAUUA
rnacentral:tRNA from 1 species